rnacentral:rRNA from 1 species
UACAGAGGGUGCGAGCGUUAAUCGGAAUUACUGGGCGUAAAGCGCGCGUAGGCGGCUCUGCAAGUCGGGUGUGAAAUCCCCAGGCUUAACCUGGGAACUGCAUUCGAGACUGCAUUGCUAGAGUAUGGGAGAGGGAAGUGGAAUUUCCGGUGUAGCGGUGAAAUGCGUAGAUAUUGGAAGGAACAUCAGUGGCGAAAGCGACUUCCUGGACCAAUACUGACGCUCAUGUGCGAAAGCGUGGGGAGCAAACAGG